rnacentral:rRNA from 1 species
UACAGAGGGCGCAAGCGUUAAUCGGAAUUACUGGGCGUAAAGCGUACGUAGGCGGAUCAGAAAGUUGGGGGUGAAAUCCCGGGGCUCAACCCCGGAACUGCCUCCAAAACUCCUGGUCUUGAGUUCGAGAGAGGUGAGUGGAAUUCCGAGUGUAGAGGUGAAAUUCGUAGAUAUUCGGAGGAACACCAGUGGCGAAGGCGGCUCACUGGCUCGAUACUGACGCUGAGGUACGAAAGUGUGGGGAGCAAACAGGAUUAGAUACCCGGGUAGUCC